GGUGUAGCUCAGUGGUAGAGCACUUACCUAGCAUGGGUGAGGCCCUAGUUUCAAUUCCCAGUACCA
rnacentral:tRNA from 1 species